GCGAGAGUGGUGGAACUGGUAGACACGCUAGACUUAGGAUCUAGUGCCGCAGGUAUAAGGGUUCGAGUCCCUUCUCUCGCA
rnacentral:tRNA from 1 species